UUUCCCUUUGUUGAGGCAGGACAAUGGCAACAAACCAGGAGAAUGAAAUGAACUUAAUGUUAGAAGCUGUGGCAAAAGAUCAAAAUUUGCAUGUAACACAAAUGACCCCGAUGAGAGGUGUGGGCAUCGCACUGGUCACUGGUGGCUUGGGAAUGGCAUUUGGCCCAGUUGGAUUGGCAGCAGGUGCUGUUGUAGGAGGUGUAGUAACUUAGAUGAACGAGGUGCCUGUAAUCCAAGCUAUCAAGAAACUUGCAGCUGAAAUUAAAGAGAAACUCUACACUGGUGUCAAUGCACUGCUCAAUGACUGGGUCUGGCCUACUCCGGAAGCCCUGCUGAACAGGGUUUUGAGUAGUGUCAAAUUAGUGAACGAGAUUAUCGAUCUUCUUCAAAAGAUUUUCAAGACAAUAGACAUGGCACUUGCACCAAAAUUACUCUAAAACUUUAUACAACUUCAGGCGUAAUCUCUGUUCACUGUAGUGUUUGUACCAGAGACAAACAUCUCCCCAUAAGAUAAAGAAAAAGAAGCCGAUAUACCUAUACUAUUUUUGCUAAAACUAUAAUGUUAAUUUUAGUAUAAAGGCUGUAAGUAAUAAUCAUUUACAAAAUAUUAAUUAAAUACCUGUAAAUCUCA